UGCAAGGUGCAUAAUCCUUGCCUUCUAAUUAAAGGCUGGAAUCAAUGGCUAGACGCGAGUUUAACUGUCUCACUCGUAUCAUAAAAAACUUACCUUCAAGUGAAAAGGCUUGAAUCCCCUAAAGGACAAGAAGACCCUAUUGAGCUUCAACUAAAAAGACUAAAAUCCCACUAUUUAUAAUAGGAAUUUCUAGCCCUUAUGUUUUGAUUGGGGCAAUCAAAGUACAUCAAACCACUUUCUCUACCCUUACUUAUGAGUAAUCCCCUUCACCGACUUUAGCGAUCCCUAGUUGAGAUCUAGAGAAAAAGCUACCCUAGGGAUAACAGCGUUAUUCUUUCUGAGAGUUCUCAUCGAAGAAAGAGUUUGCGACCUCGAUGUUGGACUAAGAUAUCCUGUAGGUGUAGCAGCUUACAAAGGUAGGCCUGUUCGGCCUUUAAAAUCUUACGUGAUCUGAGUUCAAACCGGNAUNCCGG
rnacentral:rRNA from 1 species